rnacentral:rRNA from 1 species
AUUGAACGCUGGCGGCAGGCCUAACACAUGCAAGUCGAACGGUAACAGGAAACAGCUUGCUGUUUCGCUGACGAGUGGCGAACGGGUGAGUAAUGUAUCGGAACGUGCCCAGUAGCGGGGGAUAACUACGCGAAAGCGUGGCUAAUACCGCAUACGCCCCACGGGGGAAAGGGGGGGAUCUUAGGACCUCUCACUAUUGGAGCGGCCGAUAUCGGAUUAGCUAGUUGGUGGGGUAAAGGCCUACCAAGGCGACGAUCCGUAGCUGGUUUGAGAGGACGACCAGCCACACUGGGACUGAGACACGGCCCAGACUCCUACGGGAGGCAGCAGUGGGGAAUUUUGGACAAUGGGGGAAACCCUGAUCCAGCCAUCCCGCGUGUGCGAUGAAGGCCUUCGGGUUGUAAAGCACUUUUGUCAGGGAAGAAAAGGUUUCGGAUAAUACCCGGAACUGAUGACGGUACCUGAAGAAUAAGCACCGGCUAACUACGUGCCAGCCGCCGCGGUAA